AUUAGGUCACCUAAAAGGUAAUGGUAACAGCUAAACAAAUCCUCUCAUACAUCCCACCUGCAGUGCUAAAUCUCUCCCAUGACCCUAUCACUGCAGCCUACUUGAUGACCAAAAAUGGAGAAUCUUCGGGGCAAGAGCUGUACUUCGAGUGUUAACGCAUUCAAUACUUGUGAGCUCAGAGAAGCCGUGACACAAGUGGGGCUCUGGGUUGGACUGACUGCAAACAUCAACCCGUUCCAAGGCACUGGAGUUCCCUUUUAGCAUUUCUUGACUUGGAAAAAGAAUGAUUAUUAAGAAUGCAAGGUAGAAACCUUGCCAUGCCAGUUGGGAAGGCAAGCAGGUGAAGAUCUGCAGGACACAGCUAUGUUCCACUCCGAUGCACAGGGUCGUAGUGAAGAAGAGGAGGGGAAUACAUUCCACCCAGAGAAAACAGCAAAGGACGAACUUUGAGAGCUGAGUUAUCACAAAAGGUAUUCAGCUGCACUCUGCACCAAGAGAAGGAGCGGGUGCCACUUUGCCAGAAGCCUAACAGCCCGCUGUCUCUCACCAAGGUACCCUGUGUUUUCCCACCCAACCUUUCUGAAAAUGUCCACCCUGGAUCUGCUUAGGCUUCUUCUCAAGAGGGACUGGGUAGCCCGGGGUACAGAUGGUGCCUGAGCAGGGUCAAGAAAUCCCACUAUGUGCAUUCUCAAACUUCACCUGGUCCUGAAAUGAUCCAGGGAAAAAAUGAGCAGCUAGAAGCAAGAACUACCUUAAGUAAGUGAAGCUGGGAGUCUCAGUGAACUACAGCAUGUGCCUUUCCACAACAAGAGGCUUUGCUUUAUCAUCCUUGUUAGCGCCACAGCGAGAGUUUCACUUCUUUCUAAAGAUGACAUGAAUGUAUCUCCUCAAACUGUUGCCACUAAAGCCAUGCAAAGUAUUGUCAGUAAGAAGCAUCAUAAACAUCUUGAGAAUAGAACAAGAACUGUCAGGUUUGAAUAUUCAAGAAGCCAACAGAAAGGAAACAAAUCUAGCAACUGGAAAAAUACUGGGGCUUAGAAGUACUUCUUCAGUGUCCAGUGCCUGCCAUCUCUUUGGGGCAGCAGGGGAAGGUCACACUAGGAAAUCCCCCUCCUUCCUCUCCCUCAGAGAGUGGAAAAGUGUUUCUUUUCUCUGGAGGACCCUUACCUCCAUGUCCUUGGAGAACUUGACACUUCCACGUGCUCAGCUACAGAAGGCAGCAGAGCAGCUUCUCCAUCCCUGGGGUGCCCACGCAGUGAGAACCCAGGCUGAGAACCACGGCCACCCUUCUUCAGGGAACAGACAAGAGGGCCAGCACUGCUGCCAUAGCAGGAGCUCCUCGCUGCAGGGUCUAAGGGCUGCAGAGACCCUGCUCCUCCUGAGAACAGGACCAAACACCAACCACAGAAGGUUUCUUCUGCAGAGCAGCUAUCAACCAGUGCACUGGGGAAAGAGAGUCUGUAUACUCCUUGCUUUUGCUGUCCUCCCUGCAUCCAGCCCCAGCAAUCAGGAAAAGAAAAGGAAAUCAAGAGCACUUAACACUGUAAAUGUUUUUAUCAAGUUCUUUUGAGAAUUGUGGAUGCUGUUAAGCACAGGAAAACAUAGAGGUAAAAUAGGACAGAGGCACUUUACUAGCCUCAAAUAAUCUCUCACUUACAGAGCGACCAAAAUCUCUCCAAAUGAGAAAUCUUCACCCUUGACAAUCUCAUGCAAGCCUAGAGAUGACUUCAGAAGCUAGACCAAGAUUUAUAUUUCCUAAUUAAUUCACUUUUUUAUUGAGAAUCUGAAUAAACACUUUCACCCUUUUUUCUUAACAAAACUUUAUUCUGUUCAUAUAGCAAAGUAACUCUAUGAGAUGGAAAAUAACCCAUGUGGCUCAUCUGUCUAGAAUUUAUAUCUAG